GAUGAACGCUGGCGGCGUGCUUAACACAUGCAAGUCGAACGGAAAGGCUCCUGCUUGCAGGGGUACUCGAGUGGCGAACGGGUGAGUAACACGUGGGUGAUCUGCCCUGCACUUCGGGAUAAGCCUGGGAAACUGGGUCUAAUACCGGAUAGGACGAUGGUUUGGAUGCCAUUGUGGAAAGUUUUUCGGUGUGGGAUGAGCUCGCGGCCUAUCAGCUUGUUGGUGGGGUAAUGGCCUACCAAGGCGUCGACGGGUAGCCGGCCUGAGAGGGUGUACGGCCACAUUGGGACUGAGAUACGGCCCAGACUCCUACGGGAGGCAGCAGUGGGGAAUAUUGCACAAUGGGCGCAAGCCUGAUGCAGCGACGCCGCGUGGGGGAUGACGGCCUUCGGGUUGUAAACUCCUUUCGCUAGGGACAAAGCGCAAGUGACGGUACCUGGAGAAGAAGCACCGGCUAACUACGUG
rnacentral:rRNA from 1 species